rfam:Asian citrus Psyllid, Diaphorina citri - Florida Strain, whole genome shotgun sequence.
CUUCGCGGCGAUAUCACGUUGAAUUCAUCAGUUCCCAAAUUUUCACUGAAGUUAAGCAAUGUUGCGUCUGGUUAGUAUCUGGAUGGGUGACCAUCUGGUCAAUCGCUUGUAGCAGGUU